CCUACGGGGGGCUGCAGUGGGGAAUUUUGGACAAUGGGGGCAACCCUGAUCCAGCGACGCCGCGUGAAGGAUGAAGGUCUUCGGAUUGUAAACUUCUUUUGAAGGGGAUGAAUGCUCUGGUGAAUAGCCAGGGGUGACAGUACUCUUCGAAUAAGCCACGGCUAACUACGUGCCAGCAGCCGCGGUAAUACGUAGGUGGCAAGCGUUACUCGGAAUCACUAGGCGUAAAGCGCAGGUAGGAGGUUUGGUAAGUCUGUUGUGAAAGCUCCCGGCUCAACUGGGAGAGGUCAACGGAAACUACCAGGCUUGAGUGUGGUAGAGGUAGCUGGAAUUCCCGGUGUAGCGGUGAAAUGCGUAGAUAUCGGGAGGAAUACCUAUGGCGAAAGCAGGCUACUGGACCAUCACUGACUCUGAUCUGCGAAAGCUAGGGGAGCAAACAG
rnacentral:rRNA from 1 species